rnacentral:misc_RNA from 1 species
GAUGAAGAACGCAGCGAAAUGCGUUAAGUAGUGUGAAUUGCAGAAUUCAGUGAAUCAUCGAAUCUUUGAACGCACAUUGCGCCCCUUGGUAUCCCGAGGGGCAUGCCUGUUCGAGCGUCAUUUCACCACUCAAGCCUGGCUUGGUGUUGGGCGACGUCCCCUUUGGGGACGCGCCUCGAAACGCUCGGCGGCGUGGCACCGGCUUUAAGCGUAGCAGAAUCUUUCGCUUUGGAAGUCGGGGCCCCGUCUGCCGGAAGACCUACUCGCAAGGUUGACCUCGGAUCAGGCAGGGAUACCCGCUGAACUUAAGCAUAUCAAUAAGCGGAGGA